AGCAGCCGCGGUAAUUCCAGCUCCAAUAGCGUAUAUUAAAGUUGUUGCAGUUAAAAAGCUCGUAGUUGAAUUUCGGGAUCAAAUUGUCGGUCGUGCCUCGGUACGCACUGGUAUUAUUGGUUCCUACCUUCUGAAGAACCGCGAUGUCAUUAAUUUGGUGUCGUGGGGAAUCAGGACUGUUACUUUGAAAAAAUUAGAGUGUUUAAAGCAGGCUUACGCUUGAAUACAUUAGCAUGGAAUAAUGAAAUAGGACGUUUGAUUCUAUUUUGUUGGUUUCUAGGAUCGACGUAAUGAUUAAUAGGGAUAGUUGGGGGCAUUAGUAUUCAAUUGUCAGAGGUGAAAUUCUUGGAUUUAUUGAAGACUAACUACUGCGAAAGCAUUUGCCAAGGAUGUUUUCAUUAAUCAAGAACGAAAGUUAGGGGAUCGAAGACGAUCAGAUACCGUCGUAGUCUUAACCAUAAACUAUGCCGACUAGGGAUCGGAUGAUGUUAAUUUUUAAUGACUCAU
rnacentral:rRNA from 1 species